rnacentral:lncRNA from 1 species
CAACUUUCAUCUCCUUCAUUCUUGUUUCCAUCGGCACCGACACAACUCCCACUUCACCCUCUAAAAAUCCAAAACCCAAGGUAAGCGCUCUCUCUUAAUAUUUUUUCCAUAAAUGGCUUCAUCUCAGAGACUUUGUAGCAUUAAUAAAACAACCAAAAUAAAAAACCCCUUCAAUUUCCAACUUAGACUACUCUAUUUCACAGGUCAAUGCUUCCC